rnacentral:lncRNA from 1 species
UGCUACUGGGGGAAAAAAUCACUCCUUCCAACAAGUGGGGUGGGGCACACACACUGCCCAUCCCAUCGCCCUCCUCUUCCCAUUUACCCACUCUGUCUCCUGUACCCAGUGGGAAAUCCUGUGGAGUAUCACACAGUGAAUGCCAGGAAGAUGGCGGACAGGUGCCAACCCAGAACAGCCACAAACCUAGACAAAACUGCUUCUCUUCUCUGUGAAAACUUGGCUUUACUGAGGGUCUGGAGUUUUCUCCCUGUGUGCGUUCAGAACGCCGCUAUGGGGCUUUUGCUGAUUGGGGGAAGGUUGUGUUGGUGGUGGUGGGUUUUGGGGGGGGAGGAGUGCGUUG